rnacentral:rRNA from 1 species
CGGCGGACGGGUGAGUAAUGUCUGGGAAACUGCCCGAUGGAGGGGGAUAACUACUGGAAACGGUAGCUAAUACCGCAUAACGUCGCGAGACCAAAGAGGGGGACCUUCGGGCCUCUUGCCAUCGGAUGUGCCCAGAUGGGAUUAGCUAGUAGGUGGGGUAACGGCUCACCUAGGCGACGAUCCCUAGCUGGUCUGAGAGGAUGACCAGCCACACUGGAACUGAGACACGGUCCAG